rnacentral:rRNA from 1 species
GCAUAUCAAUAAGCGGAGGAAAAGAAACCAAACAGGGGAUUGCCCCCAGUAACGGCGAGUGAAGCGGCAACAGCUCAAAUUUGAAAUCUGGCCCCCAGGGCCCGAGUUGUUAAUUUGCAGAGGAUGCUUUUGGCGCGGCGCCUUCCGAGUUCCCUGGAACGGGACGCCAUAGAGGGUGAGAGCCCCGUCUGGUCGGACGCCAAGCCAGUGUAAAGCUCCUUCGACGAGUCGAGUAGUUUGGGAAUGCUGCUCUAAAUGGGAGGUAUAUGUCUUCUAAAGCUAAAUAUAGGCCAGAGACCGAUAGCGCACAAGUAGAGUGAUCGAAAGAUGAAAAGCACUUUGAAAAGAGGGUUAAACAGUACGUGAAAUUGUUGAAAGGGAAGCACUUGUGACCAGACUUGGGCCCGGUGAAUCAUCCAGCGUUCUCGCUGGUGCACUUCGCCGGGCUCAGGCCAGCAUCAGUUCGCCGCGGGGGACAAAAGCUUCGGGAACGUGGCUCCCUCGGGAGUGUUAUAGCCCGUUGCACAAUACCCUGCGGUGGACUGAGGUUCGCGCUCCGCAAGGAUGCUGGCGUAAUGGUCACCAGUGACCCGUCUUGAAACACGGACCAAGGAGUCGUCUUCGUAUGCGAGUGUUCGGGUGUCAAACCCCUACGCGUAAUGAAAGUGAACGCAGGUGAGAGCUUCGGCGCAUCAUCGACCGAUCCUGAUGUUCUCGGAUGGAUUUGAGUAAGAGCAUACGGGGCCGGACCCGAAAGAAGGUGAACUAUGCCUGUAUAGGGUGAAGCCAGAGGAAACUCUGGUGGAGGCUCGCAGCGGUUCUGACGUGCAAAUCGAUCGUCAAAUAUGGGCAUGGGGGGCGAAAGACUAAUCGAACCUUCUAGUAGCUGGUUUCCGCCGA